rnacentral:tRNA from 1 species
UGCGGGAUGGAGCAGUCUGGUAGCUCGUCGGGCUCAUAACCCGAAGGUCGUUGGUUCAAAUCCGGCUCCCGCUACCA